rnacentral:lncRNA from 1 species
UUCUGUACUUGACUUAGAGAAAUUCAAUGGAGAAGAGGCCGCGGUGAAUGACAAAGAAGGUGGUGAUGAUGUUGAGGGAUGAUUGGAGGGCCCCUCUGCACAAAAGAUGAUGACUUGAAGUUGAUCAAGAUUGGAGGAAACAAAAUUAGAAGUACCCUGACACUACCAAUCUUCUCCAGUGGGAUGCUCAAGAAGCUUCUAAUUGAGUGAUGCAACCAAGGAAGAAAACCGCUUAGAUCAUCGACACAAAGCAUAGGAGUCUCCUCUGAUCCUGGCACCUUGGCUAAAGCAAGAAUUAUGGAGAAGACGCAUCAUUGCCACCAUGCUACUCGCUGGUG